UGUGAGCUCGAUGAGUAGGGCGGGACACGUGGUAUCCUGUCUGAAUAUGGGGGGACCAUCCUCCAAGGCUAAAUACUCCUGACUGACCGAUAGUGAACCAGUACCGUGAGGGAAAGGCGAAAAGAACCCCGGCGAGGGGAGUGAAAAAGAACCUGAAACCGUGUACGUACAAGCAGUGGGAGCACCCUUUGGGGUGUGACUGCGUACCUUUUGUAUAAUGGGUCAGCGACUUAUAUUCUGUAGCAAGGUUAACCGUAUAGGGGAGCCGGAGGGAAACCGAGUCUUAAUUGGGCGUUAAGUUGCAGGGUAUAGACCCGAAACCCGGUGAUCUAGCCAUGGGCAGGUUGAAGGUUGGGUAACACUAACUGGAGGACCGAACCGACUAAUGUUGAAAAAUUAGCGGAUGACCUGUGGCUGGGGGUGAAAGGCCAAUCAAACCGGGAGAUAGCUGGUUCUCCCCGAAAGCUAUUUAGGUAGCGCCUCGUGAAUUCAUCUCCGGGGGUAGAGCACUGUUUCGGCUAGGGGGCCAUCCCGGCUUACCAACCCGAUGCAAACUGCGAAUACCGGAGAAUGUUAUCACGGGAGACACACGGCGGGUGCUAACGUCCGUCGUGAAGAGGGAAACAACCCAGACCGCCAGCUAAGGUCCCAAAGUCAUGGUUAAGUGGGAAACGAUGUGGGAAGGCCCAGACAGCCAGGAUGUUGGCUUAGAAGCAGCCAUCAUUUAAAGAAAGCGUAAUAGCUCACUGGUCGAGUCGGCCUGCGCGGAAGAUGUAACGGGGCUAAACCAUGCACCGAAGCUGCGGCAGCGACACUGUGUGUUGUUGGGUAGGGGAGCGUUCUGUAAGCCUGUGAAGGUGUGUCGUGAGGCAUGCUGGAGGUAUCAGAAGUGCGAAUGCUGACAUAAGUAACGAUAAAGCGGGUGAAAAGCCCGCUCGCCGGAAGACCAAGGGUUCCUGUCCAACGUUAAUCGGGGCAGGGUGAGUCGACCCCUAAGGCGAGGCCGAAAGGCGUAGUCGAUGGGAAACGGGUUAAUAUUCCCGUACUUGGUGUUACUGCGAAGGGGGGACGGAGAAGGCUAUGUUGGCCGGGCGACGGUUGUCCCGGUUUAAGCGUGUAGGUGUGUGUUCCAGGUAAAUCCGGUUCACUUUAACACUGAGGCGUGACGACGAGGCACUACGGUGCUGAAGCAACAAAUGCCCUGCUUCCAGGAAAAGCCUCUAAGCAUCAGGUAACAUCAAAUCGUACCCCAAACCGACACAGGUGGUCAGGUAGAGAAUACCAAGGCGCUUGAGAGAACUCGGGUGAAGGAACUAGGCAAAAUGGUGCCGUAACUUCGGGAGAAGGCACGCUGACACGUAGGUGAAGUGAUUUACUCAUGGAGCUGAAGUCAGUCGAAGAUACCAGCUGGCUGCAACUGUUUAUUAAAAACACAGCACUGUGCAAACACGAAAGUGGACGUAUACGGUGUGACGCCUGCCCGGUGCCGGAAGGUUAAUUGAUGGGGUCAGCGCAAGCGAAGCUCCUGAUCGAAGCCCCGGUAAACGGCGGCCGUAACUAUAACGGUCCUAAGGUAGCGAAAUUCCUUGUCGGGUAAGUUCCGACCUGCACGAAUGGCGUAAUGAUGGCCAGGCUGUCUCCACCCGAGACUCAGUGAAAUUGAACUCGCUGUGAAGAUGCAGUGUACCCGCGGCAAGACGGAAAGACCCCGUGAACCUUUACUAUAGCUUGACACUGAACAUUGAGCCUUGAUGUGUAGGAUAGGUGGGAGGCUUUGAAGCGUGGACGCCAGUCUGCGUGGAGCCGACCUUGAAAUACCACCCUUUAAUGUUUGAUGUUCUAACGUGGACCCGUGAUCCGGGUUGCGGACAGUGUCUGGUGGGUAGUUUGACUGGGGCGGUCUCCUCCUAAAGAGUAACGGAGGAGCACGAAGGUUGGCUAAUCCUGGUCGGACAUCAGGAGGUUAGUGCAAUGGCAUAAGCCAGCUUGACUGCGAGCGUGACGGCGCGAGCAGGUGCGAAAGCAGGUCAUAGUGAUCCGGUGGUUCUGAAUGGAAGGGCCAUCGCUCAACGGAUAAAAGGUACUCCGGGGAUAACAGGCUGAUACCGCCCAAGAGUUCAUAUCGACGGCGGUGUUUGGCACCUCGAUGUCGGCUCAUCACAUCCUGGGGCUGAAGUAGGUCCCAAGGGUAUGGCUGUUCGCCAUUUAAAGUGGUACGCGAGCUGGGUUUAGAACGUCGUGAGACAGUUCGGUCCCUAUCUGCCGUGGGCGCUGGAGAACUGAGGGGGGCUGCUCCUAGUACGAGAGGACCGGAGUGGACGCAUCACUGGUGUUCGGGUUGUCAUGCCAAUGGCACUGCCCGGUAGCUAAAUGCGGAAGAGAUAAGUGCUGAAAGCAUCUAAGCACGAAACUUGCCCCGAGAUGAGUUCUCCCUGAGACUUUAGGUCUCCUGAAGGAACGUUGAAGACGACGACGUUGAUAGGCCGGGUGUGUAAGCGCAGCGAUGCGUUGAGCUAACCGGUACUAAUGAACCGUGAGGCUUAACCUUACAACGCCGAAG
rnacentral:rRNA from 1 species